GCCUUCGUGGUGUAACGGUUAGCACACUCGGCGCGUAUUCAAGAGGUCUAAGUUCGAGUCCCGGCGAGGGCA
rfam:Stegodyphus mimosarum contig16920, whole genome shotgun sequence.